rnacentral:tRNA from 1 species
GGUGAGAUGGCCGAGAGGCUGAAGGCGUUCCCCUGCUAAGGGAAUAUAUAGAUAAAUCUGUAUCGAGGGUUCGAAUCCCUCUCUCACCG